UAAUACAUGCAAGUCGAACGGCUUUUCUAUGGAAGCUUGCUUCCACUGAGAAGAUAGUGGCGAACGGGUGAGUAACACGUGGGUAACCUGCCCAUAAGAGGGGGAUAACAUCCGGAAACGGGUGCUAAUACCGCAUAGUUUUCUUGAUCGCAUGAUCGGGAAAGGAAAGACGGCCUUUGUGCUGUCGCUUAUGGAUGGACCCGCGGCGUAUUAGUUAGUUGGUGAGGUAACGGCUCACCAAGACGAUGAUACGUAGCCGACCUGAGAGGGUGAUCGGCCACAUUGGGACUGAGACACGGCCCAAACUCCUACGGGAGGCAGCAGUAGGGAAUCUUCCGCAAUGGACGAAAGUCUGACGGAGCAACGCCGCGUGAGUGAAGAAGGUUUUUCGGGAAUCGUAAAACUCUGUUGUCAGAGAAGAACAAGUUGGAGAGUAACUGCUCCAGCCUUGACGGUAUCUGACCAGAAAGCCACGGCUAACUACGUGCCAGCAGCUGC
rnacentral:rRNA from 1 species